rnacentral:rRNA from 1 species
UACGGGGGGGGCAAGCGUUGUUCGGAAUUACUGGGCGUAAAGGGCGCGUAGGCGGUCUGCUAAGUUGGAUGUGAAAACUCUGGGCUUAACCCAGAGCCUGCAUUCAAAACUGACAGGCUAGAGCUCUGGAGGGGGAAGCGGAAUUCCUGGUGUAGCGGUGAAAUGCGUAGAUAUCAGGAGGAAUACCGAUGGCGAAGGCGGCCCCCUGGACCGGUACUGACGCUGAGGCGCGAAAGCGUGGGUAGCAAACGGG